AACGAACGCUGGCGGCAUGCCUAACACAUGCAAGUCGAACGAGACCUUCGGGUCUAGUGGCGCACGGGUGCGUAACGCGUGGGAACCUGCCCUUAGGUUCGGAAUAACUCCCCGAAAGGGGUGCUAAUACCGGAUAAUGUCUUCGGACCAAAGAUUUAUCGCCUUUGGAUGGGCCCGCGUUGGAUUAGCUGGUUGGUAGGGUAAAAGCCUACCAAGGCGACGAUCCAUAGCUGGUCUGAGAGGAUGAUCAGCCACACUGGGACUGAGACACGGCCCAGACUCCGACGGGAGGGAGCAGUGGGGAAUAUUGGACAAGGGGCGAAAGCCUGAUCCAGCAAUGCCGCGUGAGUGAUGAAGGCCUUAGGGUUGUAAAGCUCUUUUACCCGGGAUGAUAAUGACAGUACCGGGAGAAGAAGCACCGGCUAACUCCGUG
rnacentral:rRNA from 1 species